CCUACGGGAGGCAGCAGUGAGGAAUAUUGGUCAAUGGCCGAGAGGCUGAACCAGCCAAGUCGCGUGAGGGAAGACGGCCCUACGGGUUGUAAACCUCUUUUGCCGGGGAGCAAAGCGAGUCACGUGUGACUCAUUGAGAGUAUCCGAAGAAAAAGCAUCGGAUAACUCCGGGCCAGCAGCCGCGGUAAUACGGAGGGUGCAAGCGUUGUCCGGAAUCAUUCGGCGUAAAGGGUUCGUAGGCGGCAUGUAAAGUCAGGUGUUAAAGGCGCAGGCUCAACCUGUGUACGGCACUUGAUACGUGCAAGCUGGAGUGCGGUAGAGGUAAAGGGAAUUCCUAGUGUAGCGGUUAAAUGCUUAGAUAUCAGGAGGAACAUCGGUGGCGUAAGCGCUUUACUGGGCCGUAAUUGACGCUGAAGCACGAAAGCGUGGGUAUCGAACAGGAUUAGAUACCCGAGUAGUC
rnacentral:rRNA from 1 species